GUUUGCACUCAUCGGGGAAGGGUGAGAACCUUCGAUUAAGGUUCGAUUCGAGCGAAAGCGAGAGAACGUUGCCACAGGCAACGGCCCGAAGGGUGAGGAGCGAAGCGACGAAUAAUCCUUCCCCCACCACCA
rnacentral:sRNA from 1 species